GAUGAAGAACGUAGCGAAAUGCGAUAAGUAGGGUGAAUUGCAGAAUUCAGUGAAUCAUCGAAUCUUUGAACGCACAUUGCGCCCCUUGGUAUUCCAUGGGGCAUGCCUGUUCGAGCGUCAUUUGUACCUUCAAGCUCUGCUUGGUGUUGGGUGUUUGUCUCGCCUCUGCGUGUAGACUCGCCUCAAAACAAUUGGCAGCCGGCGUAUUGAUUUCGGAGCGCAGUACAUCUCGCGCUUUGCACUCAUAACGACGACGUCCAAAAGUACAUUUUUACACUCUUGACCUCGGAUCAGGUAGGGAUACCCGCUGAACUUAAGCAUAUCAAUAAGCGGAGGA
rnacentral:misc_RNA from 1 species